CCCCACCCGCCGCUCAGGGGUGGGGACAUUAGGUCUCCCCCCCCCCUUAUUAGUGUUUAGGGCCCCAAACCCACUGCUCAGGGGUGGGGACAUUAGGUCCCCCCCUUAUUUUACUGUAGGGACCCCACCGACCACUCAGGGGUGGGGGCCAGGGCAUUAGGUCCCCCCUUUAUUAGUGGUUAGGGCCCCCACCCAUCGCUCAGAGGUGGGAGGACAUUAGGUCCCCCCCUUAUUAUAAUUUAAGGCCCUCACCCACUGCUCAGGGGUGGGGGCCAGGGGGGAGGACAAUAGGUCCCCCCCAUUAUUUUACUUUAGGGCCCCCACCUGCCACUCAGGGGUGGGGGGACAAUAGUUUUUUGUUUAACAGUGAGCAGCCACAGACUGUUUACUGUUUAAUAGACAUG